UUUCCGUAGGUGAACCUGCGGAAGGAUCAUUAAUGAGUUGUCAUGGGGUUCGAUGCUGGCAGCCAGUUUUUGGAUGCAUGUGCUUGCCCUAACAAUCAUCUUCUUCCAAACACCUGUGCACAUUUUUGAGGGAGUCUUGAGUUGGUUGCCGCUCUUGGGUGAUUUUCUCACAUUCCCUUAAAUCAUUAUACGCUAUUAACAAUGUUGAACGUGCUCUGUGCCGCGAGGCCAUUAAUAUAAUACAACUUUUAACAACGGAUCUCUUGGCUCUC
rnacentral:misc_RNA from 1 species